UAUCAAGUAUCACCCAUCUUUUUCGAACCCUAAUGGAGUCUCUCAAGAAAAAACACGAGACGAGGCAGGGAGACAGUGGAAAACCUUGAGCAAAGAGGUCAGUUUGAAACCGUCAACCAAUCAAAAUUUUGGAAAAAUAAAAUGUUGGCCUCUCGUUCUCUGAUGCACAAAUAAAGGAAGUACUUACUUACCGUCCCAUGUUCUGUCUCCAUUGGCAAAUCGCAAUAAUUCGCCGUGAUUUUGAUUCACCGUGAAGUUGCAACACGUAGGCACCUGUCAGCUAAGGCACAAUAACGAGGUGAGGUGACGAUAACGGGACAUGCACCUUGUGGAGGUCUGAUAAAGCAAAACCACCGUGGGCUAACCUAACAGAAUAUUAGAAAGAACAGGAAGCAGAUUUAUCAGUUGAUUUUCUUAGCACAUCGAGGGAUGCUCUGCCAAGUGGAGCUCAUUGACCGAACUCUUCUAUUUGUGAAGUUCAUGCAACAAGGGCAUUGGAUUUUUGGGCAGAAUUAGGAGAUUCUCCAAAAUUAUUGAGAAAUCAACUGCUAUACAGACCAGACAGUCCUAAAAUGGAUUAUAUAUAGAACUAUACUUGAUUGAAUCCUCUUACAUUAUGGAGAAGAGGAACGAGUGUCAGCAAGGACAAAUUGUGUUGCACACAGACCUACCCAGCGACGAGAAACAUGAAAUUAUCAGACUUCUAUUUCAGUCCAAUCAUAGUUGGAAAUAAUUAAGCACAUACUUGUACAAUAACUCUUUAAGCUUUACAGUGGUAAACUUAAAGGAACUUCCAUUAAUGCUAUUGUAUGGUGAAGGAACGUCAAUAAUUUCUACAUUAACGGUUCUGCGUGAUCGGAAUGGACGGCUCUUGCAUCUGGUGGGGCAGCUCUGGGUCGGUGUUUUUGAAGGGCAAUUUUCAAGAUAUUGUUGGAUGUAGGGGUAAUUUGGUAUAAACAAAUUGCUCUUUUUUUGCUGCCCUAGGCCCCCCACCAAGUUCAAAUACUUGACUGAAUAGAUUCCUGCCGUGGGACCGAAUUUCCAUAGCAGGAUAAAAAAAGUGUAUUCAUCAUUUAAAGACGAGUUUGAAUUGACAAGGUUAUAAACUUGUUAGUAGUUUUUAGUUGUUGUUUUGAGAUUGAAAUGACGAAGAUAUUGAG